AACAAAUUCUAGGUAAUUCAACCAAUCUUUCUGAUUUUGUUGUGGUUGACGGUUUGGCUGGAAAUUUUGAUAUGACUGGAAAUUCUGAUGAGGUCGAUGAUUCUGAUGGGACCGGUAAUUUUGAUCGUAUCGAAGGUUUGGGUAAGGGGGGUGAUUUGGGUGAGGCCGAUGAUUUAAACGGCGCCGUCGAAAAUUUGUCAGGUGAGCGGAAUGGAGUGAUGUCUUAUGGUUCCCUUGAUGCUUGGGAAUUUCACUCACAGCAUCCAGUGGAAUCCGAUCGGUGAUUUUAGUUAUGCCACGUUGGGAUUGAGUAUUAAUUUGUCGUUUUGCAUAAUAGCCAUGCUUGU